GAGACGCUUCCUUGACCUUCCCUCUCCUCCUCUCCUGAUGUGUUGCUCCUUCUUCACCUCCUCCUUGUCGCCGGGCGUCUGACGCUCACGUUUGGACGACGGCUGCGUCCAUGCAAAAAUGGGUUGUGGCAAUUCGUCGGCCGCCAGCACCUCGGGAGGGGGGCCAGCCGAAGCCUCCAGGGAUGUGACAGAAGAUCCCUUGGCAGACGAUGAGAAAAGAAGGAACUAUGGUGGCGUGUAUGUGGGUCUCCCAGCAGACUUGACCACGGUGGCCACUCAUUCCAAGUCAACCCAAAAAGGUAGCCCCCUGUGUCAAAAAAUAAAAAUAAAUAAACUAUGAGGCUCUCACUGGACAAAUGAGGACAACCAGACUAGCGCAGUCAGUGAAUUGGACACAACUGAGGCAACCUGAAUAUUCACCUUGAGGCACCCCCGACCGACUCCCCCUUGGAUGUGCCGUGACCUCACCGACUGAUGGGUCAGCCCUCUUAGCGCGCCGCUAGAGUCGAGAUGCAGACAUUUCGUCACGUCGCCAAAGACGACGCUGUGUCGUCGGCUCCUCACGGGAGGCAUAGCCACACACCAUGGAACUCUAUGGAUGCCAUCCAUAAUCAUCCUUCAAAAAUAAAAAGAUGGGCAUGGAAGUGGACAAGCGCCCUUUUGGGGACUGCAAAGCACCAGCGGGGGCACAGACCGUCGUGAUGUCCAUCUUGGCGUGUCAGUCACAGUUAUGAAAUGUUGCUGGCUAAUUAAGAUGUUUUUUUUU